GCCUAAAGCGUCCGUAGCCGGCUUUGUAAGUUUUCGGUUAAAUCUAUAUGCUCAACAUAUAGGCUGCCGGAAAUACUGUAAAGCUAGGGAGUGGGAGAGGUAGACGGUACUCCGUAGGAAGGGGUAAAAUCCUUUGAUCUAUGGAUGACCACCUGUGGCGAAGGCGGUCUACCAGAACACGUUCGACGGUGAGGGAUGAAAGCUGGGGGAGCAAACCGGAUUAGAUACCCGGGUAGUCCCAGCUGUAAACUAUGCAAACUCAGUGAUGCAUUGGCUUGUGGCCAGUGCAGUGCCGCAGAGAAGUCGUUAAGUUUGCCGCCUGGGAAGUACGUACGCAAGUAUGAAACUUAAAGGAAUUGGCGGGGGAGCACCACAAGGGGUGAAGCCUGCGGUUCAAUUGGAGUCAACGCCAGAAAUCUUACCCGGAGAGACAGCAGGAUGAAGGUCAAGCUGAAGACUUUACCAGACAAGCUGAGAAGUGGUGCAUGGCCGUCGCCAGCUCGUGCCGUGAGGUGUCCUGUUAAGUCAGGUAACGAGCGAGAUCCUUGCCUCUAGUUGCCACCAUUACUCUCAGGAGUAGUGGGGCGAAUUAGCGGGACUGCCGUAGUUAAUACGGAGGAAGGAGAGGGCCACGGCAGGUCAGUAUGCCCCGAA
rnacentral:rRNA from 1 species